rnacentral:rRNA from 1 species
CAAGGUUUCCGUAGGUGAACCUGCGGAAGGAUCAUUAUCGAGUUUUGACUGGGUUGUAGCUGGCCUUCCGAGGCAUGUGCACGCCCUGCUCAUCCACUCUACACCUGUGCACUUACUGUGGGUUUCAGACGGCGUAGCGAGCCUUUACGGGUUCGUGAAAGCGUCUGUGCCCGCGUUUAUUACAAACUCUUACAAGUAAAAGAAUGUGUAUUGCGAUAUAACGCAUCUAUAUACAACUUUCAGCAACGGAUCUCUUGGCUCUCGCAUCGAUGAAGAACGCAGCGAAAUGCGAUAAGUAAUGUGAAUUGCAGAAUUCAGUGAAUCAUCGAAUCUUUGAACGCACCUUGCGCUCCUUGGUAUUCCGAGGAGCAUGCCUGUUUGAGUGUCAUGAAAUCUUCAACCUAUAAACCUUUGCGGGUUUGUAGGCUUGGACUUGGAGGCUUGUCGGCCUAACGGUCGGCUCCUCUUAAAUGCAUUAGCUUGAUUCCUUGCGGAUCGGCUCUCGGUGUGAUAAUUGUCUACGCCGCGACCGUGAAGCGUUUGGCGAGCUUCUAAUCGUCUCUUAUGAGACAACACAUUGACCUCUGACCUCAAAUCAGGUAGGACUACCCGCUGAACUUAAGCAUAUCAAUAAGCGGAGGAAAAGAAACUAACAAGGAUUCCCCUAGUAACUGCGA